ACACGCAUGACACACUGCAUAUCAAUAAGCGGAGGAAAAGAAACUAACAAGGAUUCCCUUAGUAACGGCGAGUGAAGCGGGAAGAGCUCAAAUUUGAAAUCUUCAAGGUUUUACCUUGACGAAUUGUAGUUUAAAGAAGUGUUUUCUGUUGAAGUUUCGGUGAAAGUUCUUUGGAAUAGGACAUCAUAGAGGGUGAGAAUCCCGUAUUUGACCAGUUAUUUUCAGCUGUGUGAUACACUUUCAAAGAGUCGGAUUGUUUGGGAAUGCAGUCCAAAAUGGGUGGUAAAUUUCAUCUAAAGCUAAAUAUUGGCGAGAGACCGAUAGCGAACAAGUACCGUGAGGGAAAGAUGAAAAGAACUUUGAAAAGAGAGUUAAACAGUACGUGAAAUUGUCAAAAGGGAAGCGUUUGACACCAGUGUUGUUUUCUCGAAAAUCAAUUAAAAAUGGCCUGAUUUUGUGUUGUAUUGACCUUAAAAGCUUUCUUCACUCUUUUCAUUGUCUUUUUUAAUGCACUUUUCGUUUAACAAGUCAACAUCAGUUUCUUUUGUUGUAAAAGGGUCAUUGGAAGGUGGCUUUCUUUUCGGAGAAAGUGUUUAUAGCCUUUGAUCUCUGCAAUCCGGAGAGACUGAGGUCUGCAGCGUAGACUCUUCUGGAUUAGAUACAUUUGUGCUAAGCUAUAGCUUUUCAUAGACAACUUGUUGACUAUAGUUUAGUCUUGUAGCUUACUCGCUUAUGCUAUUUUACCUACGCUUAGGAUGUUGAGCGCAUGUCUCUCUCU
rnacentral:rRNA from 1 species